ACAUGCACUAACUUUUUUCUGUCCAGAAAAAUCUUCAUCUCACCGACUUAUUGCAGUAUUAGUGAGUCGGGAGGUUUUAUAUAGAAACUACCAACAAAGAAAGCUUCUGUCCACCAUCCCUCCUCCGUAACACUCAACGCCUCCAUUGAUACUUGUAUUUCUAUCUUCAUGUGCUUCUAAUCGCUGUGCUACGACGUUUACAGGUACUUUUUGAUAUUUUAAACCCUAACUUUCUUUGAUUCUAUUUUUCUUUUGUUGCAAUUUCACAAAAAUAUGGUGUAUGUCAUUACUUUAGACAGAAAAACCCUAUCUCUUGAUAUAAACCCUAAUUCCACAACAUUGGGGAAUCUACAACAGACAAUUAAUGAUAGAUUAGGCCUUCCAAUUGAACACCAACGUUUUUUAUCAUCUUCCAAAAGAUUAAUUGGUGAUGUUAAUUGUGUAAUUGCUGAUUUGGGUAUUCGAUCGAAUUCAACCCUAACAUUACAUGUUCCCCUUUGUGGUGGUAUGCAAGCUCCUGUGCAGCCUAAGGGCAAGCUUGAAUUUCUCAAUUUGAAACCCCCUACUAAUUAUGUUGCCGGGUUGGGCCGUGGAGCCACUGGAUUUACGACCCGGUCGGAUAUUGGGCCUGCUCGAUCGGCCCCUGAUUUGCCUGACCGGUCGGCAACUACGAUUGGGGGUGCUGCGGUACCUACCACGGGCCGUGGAAGGGGGAAGGGGGGAGCUGAGGAGGAUGAAGGGGAUGAGGAAGGGGAUGAGAAAGGGUAUGAUGAGAACCAAAAGUUUGAUGAGUUUGAGGGUAAUGAUGUUGGGUUGUUUGCUUCUGCGGAGUAUGAUGAGGAUGAUAAGGAGGCCGAUGCGGUGUGGGAGGAGAUUGAUAAGAGGAUGGACUCCAGGAGGAAGGAUAGGAGGGAGGCUAGGUUGAAGGAAGAGAUUGAAAAGUACCGAGCUUCGAACCCUAAGAUUACGGAGCAGUUUGCGGAUUUGAAGAGAAAGCUGCAUACUUUGUCAGUGGAGGAAUGGGAUAGUAUUCCGGAGAUUGGGGAUUAUUCUUUGAGGAAUAAGAAGAAGAGAUUUGAGAGUUUUGUGCCUGUGCCCGAUACACUUCUGGAGAAGGCUAGACAGGAGAAAGAGCAUGUUACAGCGCUUGAUCCAAAGAGCAGAUCUGCUGGUGGGACAGAGACACCUUGGGGGCAGACCCCUGUUACUGAUUUGACUGCUGUUGGUGAGGGUAGGGGUACUGUCUUGUCACUGAAGCUUGAUAGACUAUCCGAUUCCGUAACGGGGCAGACAGUUGUUGAUCCAAAAGGUUAUUUAACGGAUCUUAAGAGUAUGAAGAUUACAAGUGAUGCAGAGAUUUCGGAUAUUAAGAAGGCUAGGUUGCUGUUGAAAUCUGUCAUACAAACCAAUCCAAAGCAUCCUCCUGGUUGGAUUGCAGCUGCUAGGCUAGAGGAGGUUGCUGGCAAGAUUCAGGCGGCUAGACAGUUUAUCAAAAAGGGAUGUGAGGAGUGUCCGACUAAUGAGGAUGUGUGGGUGGAGGCAUGUCGUAUGGCGAGCCCUGAUGACGCCAAGGCUGUGAUAGCUAGAGGUGUCAAAGCAAUUCCGAAUUCCGUGAAGUUGUGGCUUCACGCUGCUAAAUUAGAGCAAGAUGAUGAGAGUAAGAGCCGGGUACUGAGGAAGGGGCUUGAAUAUAUUCCAGACUCGGUGAGGCUGUGGAAGGCAGUUGUUGAGCUUGCUGAUGAAGAGUCAGCCACUCUCUUGCUUGGUAGGGCUGUGGAAUGCUGUCCCUUGCAUGUUGAAUUGUGGCUUGCUCUUGCUAGGCUGGAAACAUAUGAGAGGGCGAAACAAGUGCUUAACACGGCUAGGAUGAAGCUUUCAAAGGAGCCCGCAAUUUGGAUUACUGCUGCAAAGUUGGAAGAGGCUAAUGGAAAUACUGCGAUGGUUGAGAAGAUCAUAGAGAGGGGUAUAAGGGCUCUACAAAGAGAGGGAGUUGUAAUUGACAGAGAAGCUUGGAUGAAAGAAGCAGAGGCUGCUGAGCGUGCUGGGUCUGUUGUCACUUGCCAAGCUAUAGUUAAACACACUGUUGGCAUUGGGGUAGAGGAAGAAGAUCGGAAGAGAACAUGGGUGGCUGAUGCCGAAGAGUGCAAGAAGAGAGGGUCUAUUGAAACUGCAAGGGCUAUAUAUGCUCAUUCUCUCUCCAUCUUCUUGACAAAGAAGAGUAUAUGGCUUAAAGCAGCACAACUGGAGAAGAGUCAUGGAACUAGGGAAUCUCUUGAUGCCUUGUUGCGGAGGGCGGUUACAUAUGUCCCUCAGGCUGAAGUUCUCUGGCUUAUGGGUGCUAAGGAAAAAUGGCUUGCUGGUGAUGUGCCUGCUGCUCGAGCCAUUCUCCAGGAAGCUUAUGCUGCUAUUCCAAACUCUGAGGAGAUUUGGCUUGCUGCUUUUAAGCUGGAGUUUGAAAACCAUGAACCUGAAAGGGCAAAAAUGCUCCUUGCUAAGGCUCGAGAAAAAGGAGGAACUGAAAGAGUUUGGAUGAAAUCAGCAAUUGUUGAGAGAGAACUUGGUAAUGUUGCAGAAGAGAGGAGGCUGCUUGAUGAAGGCCUGCAACGCUUUCCAUCGUUUUUCAAGUUGUGGUUGAUGCUUGGGCAGCUGCAUGAACGAUUUGGAGAGCAAGCCAAGGCUAAAGAAGCGUAUGAAUCUGGUCUUAAGAAUUGUCCACACUGCAUAACUCUGUGGCUUUCACUUGCAAAUCUUGAAGAGACGAGGACUGGUCUGAGUAAAGCUCGAGCAGUUCUGACUAUGGCUCGGAAAAGGAAUCCUAGGAAUCCUGAACUGUGGCUUGCUGCUGUUAGAGCUGAACUUAGACACGGGCACAAGAAGGAGGCUGAUAACCUGUUGGCAAAGGCUCUCCAAGAAUGUCCUAACAGUGGUAUCUUAUGGGCAGCUCAAAUUGAGAAUGUUCCCCGUCCUCAACGGAAAGCAAAGAGUUCAGAUGCAUUAACAAAGUGUGACCAGGAUCCCCACGUCAUCGCUGCUGUAGCCAAGCUAUUUUGGCAUGACAGAAAGGUGGACAAGGCAAGGAGCUGGCUCAACAGGGCAGUGACACUUGCUCCGGAUAUUGGGGAUUUCUGGGCUUUGUACUACAAAUUUGAACUCCAGCAUGGAACCGAGGACUUACAGAAGGAUGUUCUGAGACGUUGUGUGGCUGCAGAGCCCAAGCAUGGUGAGAAGUGGCAGCCGAUUGCUAAGGCAGUUGAGAAUGCUCACCAGCCAACUGAAGCAAUCUUGAAGAAAGUUGUAAUUGCUCUAGGGAAGGAAGAAAAUGCUGCUGGGAACAACAAUGCAAUCUAGGAGAUGGUAGAAACAAAAAACGCAAAAAUUAGGCCGUCGAUAUCUCAUGUAGACAGUUGCCAAACAGGGGAGAUUGAUACAGAGGCUUCUUAUACUUCUUGUUAUGGCGCUACACUGACUGAAGGUGUGGAUGGGUGAACAAGCCUAUGUGUCACACCACCUUUGAAUUGAAUGCAGUACCGAAAGUGAGAAGUUCAUCCUUGUGAGAGCAAAUUUGGUGAAAAGAGUAUGAUAUUGUCGAGGAUGUCACGAGCUUCUAGAAUUACAGCGAAAUAUUAGGGUUCAAAUUGAGAUGGCUUAGGACUGAAUUUGAAUGCCAUUAGAGGAGUUGCACAACUUACAACGGAAACACUUCAUCUCUCUUCUGUAUUGCACAAUAAGGAUGAACAUUAUCGUCGAGGACUGCUAGCGAAGGUGCAGCAGGGGAAGAAGCUGUUGAAAUAUCUUAAGAGAAGAGACUGGGAGUCCUACAACUUUUUUCUUUCUAAACUUGGCCUCCUUGACAAGCCUAAUUACCAGAAUUAAAAGAAUGUAUGCAAAUCAUUUGUUUUCACUGGGGGAACAAACUCUGAGAUUUCGCUUUCAAUCCGAGUUCUUGCUGCCCAUUCCUUGUUGAGAAGUUCUUUUUAGGUUCGAACUCGGUUAGGAUAAGUACUGAACUUUUAAUGUAUCAGCAAGUCCUAUGCUGAUUUCCAGUUUAAUUGUUAAAAUCAGUUGUAUUGAUUUUCAAUUCUAUUUGAAUUGAAAUCUUGUUUACGGUAGACUGUGUUUGAGAUGGUUAGGUAUAUUUAAGUAUUGGAAAUGAGACACAUCUCUCAGAUUCGUUUCUUGUUA